CUUCAUCAACGAGAUAGUGGCAAAGUUUAAAGUCCUCUUUUUCAGGACAAUGUGUCGGUGUGUUGGAAAAUUGUGAAAGUGUUGGUACUAAGGGGUCAAAUCGAGAAAGGGCAGGAGGUCGGGAGAAGAGAGUUGGAAAAGGGAUCCUAUGCACGUACAUAGUGCUAACCCCAUGGUAGUUUUAGCUGGUGUCGCCUGUUUUUUGUUUCAAUGAAGGCGAAGCUGUUGACAGACCAACAAUCGACUUGGGAAUUUUGUCACUAAAGUGCCAUCGCCAUCGUAACCACCUUAAAAACUUUGUCACAACAACAUCGGCCGAGAGCUCUCGAUUUUCAAACAGCAAUCACCCAGGAUGCUUUGAUGAUGCCUGAAACAGAAACUGGAAUACACAGGUAUACAUGAAAAACACUAUGGCCUGGACCUGCGAUGCGAAGGAGAACCGGAUCAGGCCCGGGGCUUUGAGCUCAGCAGAGAGACAGGAUAUGCCGGGACAUGCCGGAGCAAUGUGUGUGUCCAACAUUGACCAUUAAACGGCGACUGAGCCGUACUUAAUUACUUCAGAGAUUUUCCGCUUUUUGGAAACAAGCUGACAGUACUUUUCUUAAGCCUAAGCAUGAUACUUCAAGGUUAAUAUAGCUCUUAUCAUUUGAGGCUAGGUCAUCCCUUAAAAUAAACAGACUUACAAAAAUUGUUACACCUGUCCA
rnacentral:sRNA from 1 species